UACGUAGGAGGCAAGCGUUGUCCGGAAUUACUGGGCGUAAAGCGCGUGUAGGUGGUGGGACAAGUCUGCUGUGAAAGCGCCUGGCUUAACCGGGCGAGGUCGGCGGAAACUGUCCGACUCGAGGACGGUAGAGGGGGGUGGAAUUCCCGGUGUAGUGGUGAAAUGCGUAGAGAUCGGGAGGAACACCUGUGGCGAAGGCGGCCCCCUGGGCCGGCCCUGACGCUGAGACGCGAAAGCGCGGGGAGCGAACGGG
rnacentral:rRNA from 1 species